UCUCCGUAGGUGAACCUGCGGAGGGAUCAUUACUGAGUGAGGGCUCACGCCCGACCUCCAACCCUUUGUGAACCAAACUUGUUGCUUCGGGGGCGACCCUGCCGACGACUUCGUCGCCGGGCGCCCCCGGAGGUCUCCAAACACUGCAUCUUUGCGUCGGAGUUAAAGUAAAUUAAACAAAACUUUCAACAACGGAUCUCUGGGUGCCAGCAUCGAUGAAGAACGCAGC
rnacentral:misc_RNA from 1 species